rnacentral:lncRNA from 1 species
ACUGGCCUGAAGCGAGUCAGAAACACAGGCCUCUGAGCCGAGUAGCCUACACCUUUACCUCGCGUCUCCAACUCACAUUUCGCCCUUUGUUCAGCUCAGAAGUAACACGAUAACUGUACUCUAAACAGCGUGUUGCAGGCAAAACAUAUCUAAAGCCCAGCUAACCAUCAGGUAGGAAGAGCUGGAACAGAACCAAACGUCCUGCUGGCCGUGCUAUUUACAUUUUGUUUACAGAGCAGACCUUUCCGCUAAUCCCAGCCCAAACUCGUGAGGGACAUUAACGAUUGGCGUUGAGAAGCAGCACAACAAACUGGCGAUUGCCCCAAAUGUGGCGACUGUCCAAGACAACAACAUUACCCUGGUGGACUGUUUGGAGGCCCAGGUCCAGAAUCCAGCUCCUUUAUCAGUCGUAAGAUCAACAGCCAAUCCUCUACAAAGCCCUUCCCAGAGAAAUCCCAAGGAAACCAGUUGAACACUGGACACUGUUGAACAUUACCAUACAGGAUUGUGCUUUUCCUACCAUGUAAUAGAAUACAGGCGACUCUCAUAUGUGUUCAUUCUAAUUUAAUCCGAUGCCGGCCAGAGAAGGGUAGGCUCCCCCUUUCAAACCUUGGUUCCUCUCAAGGUUUCUUCCUACUUUAGUCCAGGGAGUUUUUCCUUGCCACUGUUGUCUUGCUUGCUCACUGGGGGUUCAGGCCCGGAAAGUACAGUACCGCCAGAGUCAUUUCAGUUGGAGUACAUUCUCAUUUAGAUGAGAAAUUGUUCUAUUCAAGCCACCUGGUCAGCUGUAAUAAAAUUCCUAACUUUGAAA